rnacentral:lncRNA from 1 species
ACGCAUGCCAAGCCAAACUUGGGGAGACUAUAGUAAGAGAAUCUGUUUUCUCCAUCUUUGGUUGUUUCUGUUUUCGAAAUUCCUUUCCUCUAGGUUCGGAGAAAAAGUUCCUUUUGAAAGGAGGAUUCCAACUUUGCUUUGAAUAAGAGGGAGGAAAGAGGGUUUCCGUGCCAGGCCCAACUAGGUCUACAACAGGAUAGUUAAAGAGCUUAUUCAAAAGGCUUGAACCGAGCAGCCGUGCAGGCAAGCCGAACACAAAAGGAAGCAAAAUACCCCAAGGGUGGCGAGAGCCAGGCCACGGGUGUCCAAGUGCGCCGGCCUCCCCCAGCAGCGGGUUCAUUCCCGGGCUCCUGCUCCUUCUCAGUUACUCGGCCCUCGGUCCCUUGGGCACAGUACCUGGAAUCGAGCUGCGUCUGCCGAGAAGCGUCUCGUGUCGAAUUUGGCCCCCGCGCCGAGCCGGCGAAAGAGAUCGUGGACGUCCAUCUUUACCCAGAAAGCGCCACAGUUCUACGGCGCCUGCGCAGACUACUUCCCAGGCCCCGGGCAGCGUCGGAAGAGGGCGUGAGCAUAAUUGGCUCCUGUAGGCGGAGCCUGGCUGGAUAAAGAAACAGAAACUCAAAGAAGUAACCAGGUCUGUAAACCCCGCACUUUGAGAGGCUGAGGCAGAAGGGAUUGUUUGAAGCCAGGAGAUUGAGACCAGCCUGCACAAUAUAAGGAGACCUUGUCUCUGCAAAAAAUUUAAAAAACAAAAGAAACUCAAAGAGGAGGACAAAGACUCUCUCCAGUGAAGCCUUUCUCUUCUCCUCAGGCCUCUCCUUCCUGACUCAGCCUUGGUUUACCACUGAGAUUUGCCAUAUACCAUACAGAAGAACAAAAACGUUACCAAUUAUUGGCAGGUUUUUUUUGUUUUUUUGUUUUUUUUUUAACCAAACGUCAAGUUGGUGAUGAAGUUAUCUGGAAAUGUCAACCAAACCCAGAAGACUACACAAGACUACAGGAGAAGGCACUCUGGGUAACAGAUUCAAGUUUUCGCAUCAGUUUGUUCGAUGAAGGAUCACAACAUAGACAGUACGGCUUUCUUGCUUCCUCUUCGGAGGUUCCUUGUCUCCCACCUCCAGGACAGACAGGAGUCCUUGACAUCGUGGGAGAGGCAUUGUGGCAAUACUGCAUAGAAGGGAAACUGGGCUUCGGGCUGCGCCUCCUGAGAGUGGAUUGUCUGAGGUGCCAGCAGGACGUCCGUCAGAUUUCAGGUGGAGGAGAGAGAAAACGGCUUGUGACCUUGCAGGUUUCAAAAGAAGAGCAAACAAGAAGGGCAGAUAAGGAGACGCCAGUGAGAUUCUAUGGCCUGUCAUUAGGGAUGGGCUUCCCAGCUAUCAAAUGUUUGCUCACAUAAUAAAAUGGUGGCAGAGCCCAAAAUGUUGUCAAAAGAACUAGAGUUAUUUGCCUCCUUCAGAGUCUAAACACAAACAUCUGAUAAGGGGUGCACUGUGGUCCCUUAGAACUGGAGGCCCAGCACACGCAGCCCCACGGGGGCCUGGCCCAGAAGAUCUCUGAGAGACCGCGGGGCCCUCCGUCUGAAAGGUGUGGUAGCUGUGGCAAAUGUGAAGGACAUCCUUAUUCUAAGAGGAUUUGUUACAUAAUGGUAAGAGCUAACAUUUAUCGACAUCCUACUGUGUGCCAGGCACCAUACCAA